rnacentral:rRNA from 1 species
CAGUAGCCACGGUAAUACAGAGGGUGCGAGCGUUAAUCGGAUUUACUGGGCGUAAAGCGUGCGUAGGCGGCUUUUUAAGUCGGAUGUGAAAUCCCUGAGCUUAACUUAGGAAUUGCAUUCGAUACUGGGAAGCUAGAGUAUGGGAGAGGAUGGUAGAAUUCCAGGUGUAGCGGUGAAAUGCGUAGAGAUCUGGAGGAAUACCGAUGGCGAAGGCAGCCAUCUGGCCUAAUACUGACGCUGAGGUACGAAAGCAUGGGGAGCAAACAGGAUUAGAGACCCGUGUAGUCCCUGUCUCUUAUAA